UUAGUGGCGGACGGGUGAGUAACGCGUGGGUAACCUGCCUUACACAGGGGGAUAACACUUAGAAAUAGGUGCUAAAACCGCAUAAGCGCACAGCUUCGCAUGAAGCGGUGUGAAAAACUCCGGUGGUGUAGGAUGGACCCGCGUCUGAUUAGCUUGUUGGCGGGGUAACGGCCCACCAAGGCGACGAUCAGUAGCCGGCCUGAGAGGGCGGACGGCCACAUUGGGACUGAGACACGGCCCAGACUCCUACGGAAGGCAGCAG
rnacentral:rRNA from 1 species